rnacentral:rRNA from 1 species
UGGGGAAUAUUGCACAAUGGGCGGAAGCCUGAUGCAGCGACGCCGCGUGGGGGAUGAAGGCCUUCGGGUUGUAAACUCCUUUCGACAGGGACGAAGCUUUUGUGACGGUACCUGUAUAAGAAGCACCGGCUAACUACGUGCCAGCAGCCGCGGUAAUACGUAGGGUGCGAGCGUUGUCCGGAAUUACUGGGCGUAAAGAGCUCGUAGGUGGUUUGUCGCGUCGUCUGUGAAAUUCCGGGGCUUAACUCCGGGCGUGCAGGCGAUACGGGCUGACUUGAGUGCUGUAGGGGAGCCUGGAAUUCCUGGUGUAGCGGUGAAAUGCGCAGAUAUCAGGAGGAAAACCGAUGGCGAAGGCAGGUCUCUGGGCAGUAACUGACGCUGAGGAGCGAAAGCAUGGGUAGCGAACAGG